rfam:Picea glauca, whole genome shotgun sequence.
AGUUCUAUGGUCUAGUGGUGAGGACAUUGGACUCAGAAUCCAAUAACCCGAGUUCAAAUCUUGGUGGAACCU